rnacentral:rRNA from 1 species
UGGGGAAUAUUGCACAAUGGGCGAAAGCCUGAUGCAGCGACGCCGCGUGAGGGAUGACGGCCUUCGGGUUGUAAACCUCUUUCAGCAGGGACGAAGCGCAAGUGACGGUACCUGCAGAAGAAGCACCGGCUAACUACGUGCCAGUAGCCGCGGUAAUACGUAGGGUGCAAGCGUUGUCCGGAAUUACUGGGCGUAAAGAGUUCGUAGGCGGUUUGUCGCGUCGUUUGUGAAAACCAGCAGCUCAACUGCUGGCUUGCAGGCGAUACGGGCAGACUUGAGUACUGCAGGGGAGACUGGAAUUCCUGGUGUAGCGGUGAAAUGCGCAGAUAUCAGGAGGAACACCGGUGGCGAAGGCGGGUCUCUGGGCAGUAACUGACGCUGAGGAACGAAAGCGUGGGUAGCGAACAGG